UUUAUACAACGAAGAGUUUGAUCCUGGCUCAGGAUGAACGCUAGCGACAGGCCUAACACAUGCAAGUCGAGGGGUAACAUUGUAGCUUGCUACAGAUGACGACCGGCGCACGGGUGCGUAACGCGUAUGAAACCUGCCUUUUACAGAGGAAUAGCCCAGAGAAAUUUGGAUUAAUGCCUCAUGGUUCUAUAAUGCCGCAUGGUAUAAUAGAUAAAGCUUCGGUGGUAAAAGAUGGUCAUGCGUGACAUUAGAUAGUUGGUGAGGUAACGGCUCACCAAGUCGACGAUGUCUAGGGGUUCUGAGAGGAAGGUCCCCCACACUGGUACUGAGACACGGACCAGACUCCUACGGGAGGCAGCAGUGAGGAAUAUUGGUCAAUGGACGCAAGUCUGAACCAGCCAUGUCGCGUGAAGGAAGACGGUUCUAUGGAUUGUAAACUUCUUUUAUACGGGAAUAAUGUGAUCUACGUGUAGGUCUUUGAAGGUACCGUAUGAAUAAGCACCGGCUAACUCCGUGCCAGCAGCCGCGGUAAUACGGAGGGUGCGAGCGUUAUCCGGAUUUAUUGGGUUUAAAGGGUGCGUAGGCGGACUAAUAAGUCAGUGGUGAAAUCUUGCAGCUCAACUGUAAAACUGCCAUUGAUACUGUUAGUCUUGAAUUUAGUUGAGGUAGGCGGAAUGUGUUGUGUAGCGGUGAAAUGCAUAGAUAUAACACAGAACACCGAUUGCGAAGGCAGCUUACUAAGCUAUAAUUGACGCUGAUGCACGAAAGCGUGGGUAGCGAACAGGAUUAGAUACCCUGGUAGUCCACGCCGUAAACGAUGAUUACUCGUUGUUGGCAAUACAUCGUCAGCGACUGAGCGAAAGCAUUAAGUAAUCCACCUGGGGAGUACGUUGGCAACAAUGAAACUCAAAGGAAUUGACGGGGGCCCGCACAAGCGGAGGAACAUGUGGUUUAAUUCGAUGAUACGCGAGGAACCUUACCUGGACUUAAAUGUAGAUUGACAGCUUUAGAGAUAGAGUUUUCUUCGGACAAUUUACAAGGUGCUGCAUGGUUGUCGUCAGCUCGUGCCGUGAGGUGUCGGGUUAAGUCCCAUAACGAGCGCAACCCCUAUUCUUAGUUACCAGCAUGUAGUGGUGGGGACUCUAAGAAGACUGCCGGUGUAAACCGCGAGGAAGGUGGGGAUGACGUCAAAUCAGCACGGCCCUUACGUCCAGGGCUACACACGUGUUACAAUGGUCGGUACAAAGGGCAGCUACAUGGCAACAUGAUGCUAAUCUCUAAAACCGGUCUCAGUUCGGAUCGGAGUCUGCAACUCGACUCCGUGAAGCUGGAUUCGCUAGUAAUCGCAUAUCAGCCAUGAUGCGGUGAAUACGUUCCCGGGCCUUGUACACACCGCCCGUCAAACCAUGGAAGUUGGGGGUACCUGAAGUCUGUUACCGUAAGGAGCGGCCUAGGGUAAAACCGAUAACUAGGGUUAAGUCGUAACAAGGUAGCCGUACCGGAAGGUGUGGCUGGAACACCUCCUUUCUGGA
rnacentral:rRNA from 1 species